GUCUACGGCCACACCACUCUGGCAACGCCCGAUCUCGUCCGAUCUCGGAAGCUAAGCAGGGUCGGGCCUGGUUAGUACUUGGAUGGGAAACCUCCUGGGAAUAACGGGUGCCGUAGGCU
rnacentral:rRNA from 1 species